rnacentral:rRNA from 1 species
ACGCGAGCUGGGUUCAGAGCGGCGUGGGACAGUUCGGUCCCUAUCCGUCGCAGGCGUAGGAAAUUUGAGAAGACCUGUCCUUAGUACGAGAGGACCGGGAUGGACGUACCUCUGGUGUACCAGUUGUUCUGCCAAGGGCAUGGCUGGGUAGCUAUGUGCGGAAUGGAUAAGCGCUGAAAGCAUCUAAGCGCGAAGCCAACUUCAAGAUAAGAUUUCCCACCGCAAGGGUAAGACCCCAGAAAGACUAUCUGGUUGAUAGGUCGAAGGUGUAAGUGCAGCAAUGUA